GACGAACGCUGGCGGCGUGCUUAACACAUGCAAGUCGAACGGUAAGGCCCUUCGGGGUACACGAGUGGCGAACGGGUGAGUAACACGUGGGUGAUCUGCCCUGCACUUCGGGAUAAGCCUGGGAAACUGGGUCUAAUACCGGAUAGGACUCCGGACUGCAUGGUCUGGGGUGGAAAGCUUUUGCGGUGUGGGACGGGCCCGCGGCCUAUCAGCUUGUUGGUGGGGUGAUGGCCUACCAAGGCGACGACGGGUAGCCGGCCUGGGAGGGUGACCGGCCACGCUGUGACUGAGGUACGGCCCAGACGCCUACGGGAGGCAGCAGUGGGGAAUAUUGCACAAUGGGCGCAAGCCUGAUGCAGCGACGCCGCGUGAGUGAUGACGGCCUUCGGGUUGUAAACCUCUUUCAGCAUCGACGAAGCGAAAGUGACGGUAGGUGCAGAAGAAGGACCGGCCAACUACGUGCCAGCCGCCGCGGUAA
rnacentral:rRNA from 1 species